UUAAGUUCAGCGGGUAUCCCUACCUGAUCCGAGGUCAAGAGCAAAUAUAUGGACUUGAUGGGGGCCAACACAAGCAAGCAAGGGGCGCAAAAUGUGCUGCGCUCCAGGCUAACAUGCCGGCUGCCAAUUGAUUUAAGGCGAGUCUUACGCAAAAGAGCGCGGGACAAACACCCAACACCAAGCAAAGCUUGAGGGUACAA
rnacentral:misc_RNA from 1 species